CAACCCUCAAGCUCUGCUUGGUGUUGGGUGUCACCUGUGUGCACCCCAAAAUCAGUGGCGAUGCCCUGCAGCUUCCAGCGUAGUAAAUCUCUCGCUACGGAGUCUGUCAGGACCACUGCCAACAACCCUCUAUAACAUCAAA
rnacentral:misc_RNA from 2 species